ACGCUGGCGGCAUGCCUAACACAUGCAAGUCGAACGAAGGCUUCGGCCUUAGUGGCGCACGGGUGCGUAACGCGUGGGAAUCUGCCCCUUGGUUCGGAAUAACAGUUGGAAACGACUGCUAAUACCGGAUGAUGACGUAAGUCCAAAGAUUUAUCGCCGAGGGAUGAGCCCGCGUAGGAUUAGGUAGUUGGUGUGGUAAAGGCGCACCAAGCCGACGAUCCUUAGCUGGUCUGAGAGGAUGAUCAGCCACACUGGGACUGAGACACGGCCCAGACUCCUACGGGAGGCAGCAGUGGGGAAUAUUGGACAAUGGGCGAAAGCCUGAUCCAGCAAUGCCGCGUGAGUGAUGAAGCCCUUAGGGUUGUAAAGCUCUUUUACCCGGGAUGAUAAUGACAGUACCGGGAGAAUAAGCUCCGGCUAACUCCGUGCCAGCAGCCGCGGUAAUACGGAGGGAGCUAGCGUUAUUCGGAAUUACUGGGCGUAAAGCGCACGUAGGCGGCUUUGUAAGUAAGAGGUGAAAGCCCAGAGCUCAACUCUGGAAUUGCCUUUUAGACUGCAUCGCUUGAAUCAUGGAGAGGUCAGUGGAAUUCCGAGUGUAGAGGUGAAAUUCGUAGAUAUUCGGAAGAACACCAGUGGCGAAGGCGGCUGACUGGACAUGUAUUGACGCUGAGGUGCAAAAGCGUGGGGAGCAAAC
rnacentral:rRNA from 1 species